GUCUGCUGUAGCUUUUAAACGUUCGCGAGACUGAAGUUCAAGGUAGAACUCGACCGAUCGAUACGACGCUUGCGUCCACGUAUCCCGGAUCUCGUGGCCGUUGCUUUCGAGUUUCACGAGAGCUGCUGGUGGUCUCUUGCACGAUGCUUUCCUCUCUCUCUCUCUCUCUUUUUUUUCCUUUUUUACUUCAUAAAGCUAGAGAAAGAGAGGGAGGAAGAAAGGGUACAAGCAUAGAGAAUAUAAAGGGAAAAAGAAGAAGAAAAGAGGAAGAAAUCGACGCGAAGAAGAAAGAAGAA